GGACAAAUGACAGCACGUGCCGCGCGCGGGUCCGACAGCUCGUUAGGUCACGUUCAGAAACAGAUUACCUGUCUGCUGUGCACGGCGGGUGGCCGCGGGUGCAACUGCUGUGACCCUCCGACUAGAUGGAUGCAGCAGGAAGCCCUCUAACGCACCACAACCUGGCUGUCGUGUGAAUGCAGACUGGAGGUGUGCGAUGGAGACGAGGCUGCAGCACUACACAGGUCGUCUGCUGGAUGUGGAUCGAUGUGUGGCCUGGAUCGCUGUUAGUCUGCGUCUCUCAGGCCAGUGACCUCCCCUCUUUCUUCACCCAGCAGGAUCCCUCCCGUCCGCCCGUGUCUUACUGUGGGUGCAGCUUGUACAGCGUGCCGUCCACCCCGACGGUGAUCUCCAGGUGGUCCAGCCCUCGGUUCUCACGGAUCUUGUCCACCACGGCCGCCAUUCCGGCUCCGCAGAUCUGAGCGGCGCGGCGGGACACGGUGCCGCACACCUCCUUGACGAUGAUACUGUCGUCGCAGGUGCUGUCCAGCCCCAGCUGCUGCAGGAUCGCCCUGACCUGCAGCAGCGCCAGACGAUCGCUGUGGGGAGGAGGAGAGGGGGGCGAGGGAGGUCAAAGGUCAGCCAACAGCAGGAGAGUCACUGGAUACCUCACAGCUGCUCUGAGAGGCUAAGACACUGAUUCAGAGGAGUUUUCCCAUAAUGACGGGGGCCCCUUAUGACAAAAUGGGAAAGAAACACAAGGAACUUGGUCUCGAAGAUGCCCCUGGUCUUCAGCGUCUCGGAGAUUUGUCCCCGGAACAGGAAGCCGCGCUUGGUCAGGUCGAUCAAAAUGUUCCUGACGAUCUCUCCCAGGCACCGGGAGGGCCUCCUCACCUCUGUUUGCCUUCGUUGAGCGAGUUCUCGUCCACGGCGCGGUCGUACUGCGUCCUGAUGUCGUCCAGGCAGCCGUUGUCUCCGAACGCCCCCCACUCCAUGUUGACGCACAUGCGGCCCUGGUCUCCCUGCACGAUCUCGAUGUUCCUCAUCUCCUCCAUGUAGCAGGCGUUACUGCCCGUCCCUGAGGAAGGAGGCACACGACGAGCCGUACGUUUCAAACUACCCAGCAGACACCACGGUACAGGAUAACAGAGCUGUUAAUUUCUUAUUAUAGCUCUCUGUUUUCCUACUUUUUUGUGUUUCUAAUCAUGGAACAAGAUGCUAAAACAACGUCAGCUUUGAAAGAAUGUGAAUAUUUUUUGGAAAGGAAUUAGUUUCAGGGAUUCUGGACCUCAAACCUGAUUUCUGCUUCACUUUCUUGCACCUUGGAAAUAUUCCUAAAGGCCUCAGUAAAAGUAAGAUAUAUUGUUGAAGAUUUUUAUGGCUGCAAGUAAAUUAAAUUUUUAAAAAAAAAUUACAAAAUGCUGGCUCCAGAGGAACCCUCUCUAUUUGCUCAGUGGAGAAACUGACCUUCUUUCUGCGACUUUAAAAGGAGAAGCAGCUUAGACACCGGAAAAAAUGGGAAUGCUAAAACCAUCUGGACUUUUAACAAACUUUUUUUUUUUUUAUCUGAACCUUCUUAAAUGCAUGAUAAACAAUACUAGAGCACCUUA